rnacentral:rRNA from 1 species
AUUAAAAACCAAUGCCCUUCGGGGCUCUCUGGUGAUUCAUAAUAACUUCUCGAAUCGCACGGCCUUGCGCCGGCGAUGGUUCAUUCAAAUUUCUGCCCUAUCAACUUUCGACGGCUGGGUCUUGGCCAGCCGUGGUGACAACGGGUAACGGAGGGUUAGGGCUCGACCCCGGAGAAGGAGCCUGAGAAACGGCUACUACAUCCAAGGAAGGCAGCAGGCGCGCAAAUUACCCAAUCCCGACACGGGGAGGUAGUGACAAUAAAUACUGAUACAGGGCUCUUUCGGGUCUUGUAAUUGGAAUGAGUACAAUUUAAAUCCCUUAACGAGGAACAAUUGGAGGGCAAGUCUGGUGCCAGCAGCCGCGGUAAUUCCAGCUCCAAUAGCGUAUAUUAAAGUUGUUGAGGUUAAAAAGCUCGUAGUCGAACCUUGGGCCUAGCCGGCCGGUCCGCCUCACCGCGUGCACUGGCUCGGCUGGGUCUUUCCUUCUGGAGAACCGCAUGCCCUUCACUGGGUGUGCC